AGAGACAGCAGCCGCCGCGGGAAUACGAAGGGUGCAAGCGUUAAUCGGAAUUACUGGGCGUAAAGCGCGCGUAGGUGGUUUGGUAAGAUGGAUGUGAAAUCCCCGGGCUCAACCUGGGAACUGCAUCAAUAACUGCCUGACUAGAGUACGGUAGAGGGUGGUGGAAUUUCCUGUGUAGCGGUGAAAUGCGUAGAUAUAGGAAGGAACACCAGUGGCGAAGGCGACCACCUGGACUGAUACUGACACUGAGGUGCGAAAGCGUGGGGAGCAAACAGGAUUAGAUACCCCCGUAGUCCCUGUCUCUUAUAC
rnacentral:rRNA from 1 species